ensembl:lncRNA
AUUAAAUCAAACACAGUAAGUAAGCACACCUAAAGCAUCCAUCCAACACAAAACACAAUCUCCAGAUAAUUAGGGUAACUGCUAUUAUUUUACUUCUCUGCCCCUCCCGUAAUUAGUGCUGUCUGUAGUUGAAAAGGGAAAGAAUCAAAGAUUUUUCAGAAGAUACUAUUUUAGUCUCACCUUAUUUCACAAUAUAUUGUUUUAAUCUCACCUUAUGCUUUGUACGUGGCUUCUGAGCAAACUAGGUUUGACUCCCUUCAAUGGCAGUCUAUGAUUAAUGGCUUCAUUAUAUAGUUCAUGUCCAGGAAAUGAAAAUUUUUACUUCAUGGUUCUGCCUGCUAAAGGACUUAUUCUUACAUUAUUAACAGAAAUCAAAGAACAUUACUUUUACAGCAAAUACUUUUCUACCUAAGGAAGUAUGAUUAUUUGUUGACCACCAGUAACCUGUAGAAGUCAGGGUAAGGAACGAUUAUUGUGGCAAGAGUUGACUUGGGCUAAUUUUCAACACCAAGACUAUGCAGUAUAGAAUAUCCUUUUAUGGAUAUGAACUUUAUCGCAUAUUGCAUUAACCUACUAAUACCACAAGGAACAUUUUAUUUGGGUUUAUACAGUUUUAAAUAAGACUGUCCUGUUAAGGACAUAUCCAACAUUUAUUACUUCUGAUGGUAAAUUGUAUUUCAACAAAUAAAACUUUUAAUAGAAAAAAAUUGUAAGUACUUCACAUUUACCCACACACACAUACACAUAAAAAAGGUGCAUGAAAAAGUGCAAAGUUCAUAGCUUUCACAUAGGGACUGUUUUCUAUUUGGCGUUACAGACCAAUUUUCAUCUGGGAAUGAUAAUAUUUGCCCCUGUUCCCACCUCUCCUCUGAUGCAGGCAUGGUGCUGAAGCAGCCACCUCCCUGAGCAGCCAGCUUGGCCAACAUCUGCUGCAGCACAAAGCUGCAUCCACGGAAAAUCCACAGGAGCUGAGCGCUGAGCUCAUGUGGCGCCGUGCCAGGAGGAGGUGAGUGACUAUUUUUUGCUUUUUGUGUCCAUCCAGCUGCAGCUCCUCUGGGACCACGAGAAGUGUGUAUGCUGCCUGGUGCACACGUGGCUCACCACAACCUUGGGCUGCUCCUUCACCUGGGUCCAUGAGACCACAGUUACAGUCCAGGGGAAGUGGUGGCCCCUUCAGCAGCAGCUUGAAGAUGCUCACUGGAAGAAAGGAGCCUUCAUGUUCCCAGGAUCAAGAACUGAACUCAUUACCAUAAAGAUGCUGAUUUACUCAUAAAGAUGCUUCAGGCCAGACCACACAACUCCUGCCACUUCAAAAUCUUUCCUGACUGUUCAAGAUACCAGCUUGCCCUUGGAGAACAUACCGUCCAUGUCCUUUACUUCCUUAAUUUUGAAGGAAGCUGCCUGGUUGGAACAUAAGUUGAGAGCCAUUGAAAGGAAUGAUAUUUAUGCAGACAGAAAAUUAACAUAGACUAUGAUAAACACUGGCUAUCUUCUUUUAACUGAAUAGAGGUUAACUUUUUCAGCCUGUAAGAUAUGUUUCAAAAUUUGAUUAUUUGUUCCAGUUACUUUAUUGUGUCCUGUAUUUUUCUUACUUUGGG